rnacentral:lncRNA from 1 species
AUGAGGCGAAUACAGACGAGUUGCCUGUCAUUUUACCUCCUCCCUGUAUGCAAUCAGCAACUAAACGACAGGUUUCAGAAACUCACUUUAUAUCUCAGAAUAUCACUCUAUUCUGCUGCAUCCUCCUCCUGUCCCACAUCCUGUAGCCUAUUUUACCUCCUGUCCCACAUCCUAUUUUACGUCCUGUCCCACAUCCUAUUGUACCUCCUGUCCCACAUCCUAUUGUACCUCCUGCCCCACAUCCUAUUGUACCUCCUGCCCCACAUCCUAUUGUACCUCCUGCCCCACAUCCUAUUGUACCUCCUGCCCCACAUCCUAUUGUACCUCCUGCCCCACAUCCUAUUGUACCUCCUGUCCCACAUCCUAUUGUACCUCCUGUCCCACAUCCUAUUGUACCUCCUGUCCCACAUCCUAUUGUACCUCCUGUCCCACAUCCUAUUGUACCUCCUGUCCCACAUCCUAUUGUACCUCCUGUCCCACAUCCUAUUGUACCUCCUGUCCCACAUCCUAUUGUACCUCCUGUCCCACAUCCUAUUGUACCUCCUGUCCCACAUCCUAUUGUACCUCCUGUCCCACAUCCUAUUGUACCUCCUGUCCCACAUCCUAUUGUACCUCCUGUCCCACAUCCUAUUGUACCUCCUGUCCCACAUCCUAUUGUACCUCCUGUCCCACAUCCUAUUGUACCUCCUGUCCCACAUCCUAUUGUACCUCCUGUCCCACAUCCUAUUGUACCUCCUGUCCCACAUCCUAUUGUACCUCCUGUCCCACAUCCUAUUGUACCUCCUGCCCCACAUCCUAUUGUACCUCCUGUCCCACAUCCUAUUGUACCUCCUGCCCCACAUCCUAUUGUACCUCCUGCCCCACAUCCUAUUGUACCUCCUGUCCCACAUCCUAUUGUACCUCCUGUCCCACAUCCUAUUGUACCUCCUGCCCCACAUCCUAUUGUACCUCCUGCCCCACAUCCUAUUGUACCUCCUGCCCCACAUCCUAUUGUACCUCCUGUCCCACAUCCUAUUGUACCUCCUGUCCCACAUCCUAUUGUACCUCCUGCCCCACAUCCUAUUGUACCUCCUGUCCCACAUCCUAUUGUACCUCCUGUCCCACAUCCUAUUGUACCUCCUGUCCCACAUCCUAUUGUACCUCCUGUCCCACAUCCUAUUGUACCUCCUGCCCCACAUCCUAUUGUACCUCCUGCCCCACAUCCUAUUGUACCUCCUGCCCCACAUCCUAUUGUACCUCCUGUCCCACAUCCUAUUGUACCUCCUGUCCCACAUCCUAUUGUACCCCGAAUCACGUGCAGCGGCUCAUUUCCAUGAAGCGAAAUAUGCUGUUUUGUUACAAAAUUAUAUUGACACAUUUGGCUUGAUGAAAAGGGGGCACUAG